CUCCACUGGAGUUUAUUAAGCGAGCCUGGGAUAGGGGAGAAGUUUCGAAGGUUACCUCUGUGUUAAUCAGCUGGAAAAAGAGAAGGAAGUUAAGAACAUCAGUAUGGCAUAGUGCCAGGAAAAAGUCUUCCUUUGACCUCUUUGGCUGGCAUCCAUUUCAAGCGCAGCAGUUACCUUUACUCCUUCUGUUCUGCCUAUACAACCAGCCAUUCUGUUCCUCAGUCUGCUGGAAUCUCUAGAUGGUGCAGUCUUCAUACGGGAUGAGGCAAUCCUGGAUAUACUCUCAACGAGAACCCCAGUCUGUUUAGUUACAACCGUCCCCCAAUGAACACUGAUCACAAGAAAUGAUUUUCAAAGAGCUGGACUAGCUGUUUCAAACCUUUCCAGGUUUCAAGGGUCAUUUAUUGGAUACCUAUGGUCAGCACGAAAAGAAAAAGUAAAGAAAUUGUCCGUGUGGACGAACAGCAGAAUUGAAUUGGUGGUUCAC